UAGGUAGGCGGGGAGAGAAUCCUAAGGUGCGCGGGAAAACCCUCGUUAAGGAACUCGGCAAAUUGCAUCCGUAACUUCGGGAGAAGGAUGACCCUGAGUAGGCGAAAGGGAGAAACCCCCGGAACAGAAAAGGGUGGCAGAAAAGAGGCCCAAGCAACUGUUUACCAAAAACACAGGUGCCUGCGAAAGCGAAAGCUGAAGUAUAGGUGCUGACGCCUGCCCGGUGCUGGAAGGUUAAGGAGAGAGGUCAGCGAAAGCGAAGCUCUGAACUGAAGCCCCAGUGAACGGCGGCCGUAACAAUAACGGUCCUAAGGUAGCGAAAUUCCUUGUCGGGUAAGUUCCGACCCGCAUGAAAGGCGUAAUGAUUUGGGCACUGUCUCAACGAGGGGCCCGGUGAAAUUGAAAUACCUGUGAAGAUGCAGGUUACCCGCGACUGGACAGAAAGACCCCAUGGAGCUUCACUGCAGCUUGAGAUUGAAUCCCGGUGACAUAUGCACAGGAUAGGUGGGAGGCUAAGAAGUAAUGCCUUUGGGUGUUACAGAGCCGAUGUUGGGAUACCACCCUUAUGUUGCUGAGAUUCUAACACGGAGACUAACAACCUCGUGGACCAUCUCAGGCAGGCGGUUUGACAGGGGCGGUCGCCUCCUAAAAUGUAACGGAGGCGCCCAAAGGUUCCCUCAGGCCGGACAGAAACCGGCCGAAGAGUGCAAAGGCAGAAGGGAGCUUGACUGCGAGACAGACAAGUCGAGCAGAGACGAAAGUCGGGCUUAGUGAUCCGGUGGUACUGAGUGGAAAGGCCAUCGCUCAACGGAUAAAAGCUACCCUGGGGAUAACAGGCUAAUCUCUCCCAAGAGUUCAUAUCGACGGGGAGGUUUGGCACCUCGAUGUCGGCUCAUCACAUCCUGGAGCUGGAGUAGGUUCCAAGGGUUGGGCUGUUCGCCCAUUAAAGUGGUACGCGAGCUGGGUUCAAAACGUCGUGAGACAGUUUGGUUCAUAUCCAUCGCGGGCGCAAGAAGUUUGAGGGAGGCUGCUCCUAGUACGAGAGGACCGGAGUGGACGGAUCAACGGUGUACCAGUUGUCACGCCAGUGGCACGGCUGGAAAGCCGCAUCCGGAAAGGAUAAACGCUGAAAGCAUCUAAGCGUGAAGCCCGUCCCGAGAUGAGACUUCUCAUCAGCAAUGAGUAAGACCCCUUAAAGACGAUGAGGUUGAUAGGCUGUGAGUGGAAGUGGCGCAAGUCAUGGAGCGACGCAGUACUAAUAGGUCGAGGUCUUAUC
rnacentral:rRNA from 1 species